GGAUCGAUGAUGAUUCCCCCAAAAAAAAUCCAAACCAACAUUCCUUGGGCUGAACAAAAUGAGUGAGAACUACAACCGUCGUCGUUCUCAUCGGAAACUGAGGUCC